UAAAUCUGGACUGUGUGCUACUCAAAUUCAGAAGCAAGUAUACCACGCCGGAAAGCAAAUCACACCUGCUCUCCAAACUGCCCAAGAAAGUAAUCCCUCUGUAAGGUAUUUUUGAGGUGCAAUCCUGCAUUAAGAGCUGCUUGUAUUUGUCUUGCGCUGAAAUGGUUCUCUUGUGCUGCCAUGAAAAAUGUCUACUACUUAAGCAUUAAUUUUUUUUCAUCAAAUAGAAAACAUGAGCAUCCUCCCUGAUGAAAUUGGCUUAAUAAACCAGUCCCUUGUUUAAGAACAAUGUCUACUAUAAAGUAAUAGAUUUGGUGAUAAAUUAUUCCUUUAAAUGGGUUCUCUUUUGGGUUUAAUCAGUCUGGUUUGGCUAUUGUAUGCAAACCCAUGAAUUUAGGAGAGUGUGCCUGUUACAAAGGCAAACUGGGAUAUGACUGCUAUUCUCCUUCACAGGUUUUAGAUUUACAAAGGUAAAAUGGCCUACCUGGGAAGAUUAAAAGAACUGAAGUUAAUCUAACCUAGAAAGACGACUUCUCUGAGGUGGGAGGAAGAGACUUAAGUCUUCAUAUGCAUAAGAGACUGUUGUAAAGAAAAUAGUCUGGCCAUGUCUGUGGUGAAACAAACUCCUGGAGUUAAAUUCCAUAUUAGACAAAUAAUUUUUUCCUUUCUAAUACUAAAGGCAGGGCAGUAGUAGAAGAUGACUUUCUAAGGAGAGUGCAAAAGUUUGACAUUUAGCAGAAAGGUAAAGAUCCUGACUCCACUGUAGGCAGGCAUUGCAUUAGAUCCCCCCCCACUCUGAGAUCCCUUAUACUUCCAUUCUUGAUUCUAUGAUUCAAAAAACAAGUGGUUCUGAUUCUUUAGGUCUUCAGUAAGGUGAAAUAUGAAGAACUCCUUAGGUAUGCUUGCCUUUUCAUCAAAGCACAAUGUCCUCUCUCCUACUUCAUCCCACUCCCAUCUUUUUCAUUUGCCUUACAACUCUCUUUUCCAUCCAGACAGAGUCCAUGGAGGAAAACCCUGCCAGAUGAAUUCAAAGUUAGCAAAUCUGGGUGCUGAGAAAGCAAGGAUGGGAGCAGUGUCACAAGGUGGUGGAAGUGUCUGUGAAUUCAUGGUUGAUGAUGUCUGCGAGAAAUGCUUUUUCUUUAUAUUGCCACUGCUCUCCUGAAUACUUUUUAGAAAGUGUAAGAGGGAAAACAAACACUUUUUCACAUAAGCAAUAUUUUUCAUUUAUUUCCCAGCAGGGUAUGUUUAAACAGAAGCAUCUAGUCUCAGCUCAAAUUACUGCCUGCUAAGUCAACUGUUCUAGACUGAGCACAAGGUAACGAAUCAAGGUUGAAUUCUGGACAGGUGCAAUUAGACCCUUGAUUCCUGUUUCUCUCUACUUUGUCAUUAGUGAGCUUUGGGCUAAAAUUAUUUGUAGAGUUUUGCUUGAGCUUUUUGCUCUGUAAAGGUUAUUGUGGAUGAAAAACAUUUGACUUGCAGCUCUUUUGGAGUGGAGUUCAUCCAAGAGCAGAGGCAUGAGGAAGCCUAUUUGUCACUUACAGUGACAGUGAAGUUUCAAGGAGCAGAUGGUGUCACCCUUUUGCCUGAAUUCUGAAAACAAGCGGUUCCUUCUCUGCAGCUUGGCUAGACUAAUCAAGGACUACAUCAAAAGAUGUGGGUUGCUGCCAUGGUGGGUCUGAGCAACGUCAGCUUGCUGGAGAUAGGGUCUGCUCAUGAAACUGUUGGUAAAUAAUUACAAAAAUUACUACCUGUUCUUGGGCUGUGCACAGUAUAUUUGCCUUGGAAGUCAAAGGAACUUUGCCUUUGUCAACUGGUUUGUGAUUUUUAUAUUUGAGGAUAUUACCAGUGCGUCUAAUACUAUGCAUGCUUGUGAAUCACUGUCAAAAUGGCUGUGGAUGCCUUAGGUUAAAAGUGUGUGAAGCCACGGUGCCAUCAGCAUGUCAUUAGUCCUGGGUCAUGGGAUUUCUCUCUGCAGACCUGGCACCAAAUUCUUUGAUAUCGGUGACAACAAAUGUACGGGAUGUUUUGCCUUGUUGAAUGGGACAGCUGUGACAUGGCCUUGGAUUACUGGUGGGAUGCUUCUCCAAACGGACAAAUGACUUCUUUACAACAGGACUUUGGAUCAGACGUCUGUGCCUCCCUUUCAUGAAAGAGGUCCCUGAGGCGGGGGAAAAGCUGUGCUUGUGAGGUCCGGUUGCAUUCCCUGGGGUGUAAAAUGAUGCUUGCUGCUUCUGGGCUCCCUGCUCCUAACGCUGAGAGAUGAUUCUGCUCAGUGCUGGGGGUGGGAACUUUUGUUUUCAGUUGGAGUGGCCUGAGCUCCACACUGACCAUUUUGCAGUGUCCAGGGUGGCUGCUGUGUACAAUGUAGUCACAGUGGCAAAUUCCAGGUAAUCACUAAUUUGUUACUCAUGGAUUAAUUCAGGUUCCUGCUUGCUGCUCAUUCAUGUUUUGCAAGUAGUAAGGCCUUUUAAUGUUUGAUUGAAUUUUUUAGUUCUCACUACUGAAUGGUAUGGAGACAAUUAAAUUAAUUUACUUCUGCCAUUUUAGAUACUGUUUGUAACUCUCUUCCAGGUCUUCAGGCUAUGCAUUCGUCUCCUGCCAGGAGACAUGAUGCAUCUCUUCAAGAACUCUGUACUUUACAGAGACGACUUCAGUCUUUUCUUGUAAGGCAGUGCAGCAAACUGUUGUUGCGGGUGUGUGUCUUAAAUAGACAGCAAAUCCUGUGUAUGAAACUGUUCUGGAAUAUUUUUAUUGCUCAUAAGCUGCUGGCAUAAUAUAAAUAUUAGUAACAGUGGAUCAGUGGCACUCCUACUUCUCUCCUUGCUUCUGCCUUCCUAUACCGAAACAGGGACUGUACUUUGCUGCUGCUGCUCCUGCGCCUUCCAUGCCGUUGGGAGCAGGUGACAGCACUCUGUGAGCAGCUCUGCUGUCUGCACCCCCCUAGGGCCAACUCACCGAAGAGCAGUGACUUUGGUGUGAGCCUUCUCUAGCACUCGCCCGUACACAGCUCGCACAUUGCCCCAGAUGGCUAAUGCAUCUUCACAUACCCUUUGCUUACUGGAUUGUAGGGAGAGGAAUCCCUCUGGGGGGAUGUUACUGCUCUUGUUGCAGUUAAGACACACUCAUGGCCUUUAUUCAGUGCAAAUGAUGCAUGCGUAGUCUUCUGUUUAUCCUGAACCACUAUUAUGCACAGAAAUGCUGUUAUCUCCUCUGUUCUCCUUUGGCUUUCUAUUGUGUUUUCUCUCUCCAGUGUUUCUGUUUUCUUCACUUUCUGUGGCCAGUCCCCUCCACUCCCUCUUGUUUUCUGCUUCUCUGCAGACUUACAUUUUACUGCCUAUGUUCCACUGGAAUUGUUCUUUUCUGAGGAAGCAGAAACAGUGGACUAGACUGAAUGGACCCCCCCCCAUCCCACCUCCUCCCCUAAAAGCAAGGUGUUUGCAGUAAAAUACAUUGAGGCUUAAAUCACAAUGUCAUUAAGUAAAAUCUUUCCUCUUUUGCAGGCAUUCCUUGGGAACUGGUGUUACCAGAUAAAGUUCAUUCCUGAGCUCGAGCUUGUUGCCUCCUGCUCAGCCACUGAUAAGAGGGCCACGAUGCUUACUUUGCUUCCAUUAAAAUAACACAGGCAAACUCCGACAAAAGUGACCCAUCCAAUCCUGGCAGGGAUAUAUUGAUGGACCAUUGUCCUGUUGUUGAUGCCUGUUAGAAUAAAAGACUUGGCAUCUGCUUCACUUGUCAUGAAACAGCCCAAAGGAGAAGAGACUGCUCAUGCAAAAGGACAUCAGCAAUUGUGGUUCUGUGGUUUAGGUAAGAGCUGGAGCAAACUUGGGCUUGAUCCAAACUCUGCUCACUGUGUAAGCACUGUUGCUUCUUCUACAGGCAUCCUGCUCCCAAGCAACAGAUUCUUUUAGAAAUGAAGAAGCAUAACCACCUAACAUUCUCGCUUCUCUCUCUGCCUCAUCUUUGUCAGCAGCAUAUUUUGGGUGUCUAAUUCUGGGUGUUUUAUAUCUCAGUA